ACACACACACACACUGAACCUGGUCUCAGACUGACCCUUGUGGAGAAAGAAAAUAUCUGUACACAUGUUAGAUCCAAUCAGAGGGCAGCUUCAGUGAGAAGAAGUUUUUGAUUACUGAGUCAGUUUUCUUAAGAUAUGAAGCUGCAGGUAGAGGUCUCAGGUGUGAAGCUGCAGGUAGAGGUCUCAGGUGUGAAGCUGCAGGUAGAGGUCUCAGGUGUGAAGCUGCAGGUAGAGGUCUCAGGUGUGAAGCUGCAGGUAGAGGUCUCAGGUGUGAAGCUGCAGGUAGAGGUCUCAGGUGUGAAGCUGCAGGUAGAGGUUUCAGGUGUGAAGCUGCAGGUAGAGGUCUCAGGUAGAGGUCUCAGGUGUGAAGCUGCAGGUAGAGGUGUCAGGUGUGAAGCUGCAGGUAAAGGUCUCAGGUGUGAAGCUGCAGGUAGAGGUCUCAGGUGUGAAGCUGCAGGUAGAGGUCUCAGGUAGAGGUCUCAGGUGUGAAGCUGCAGGUAGAGGUCUCAGGUAUGAAGCUGCAGGUAGAGGUCUCAGGUGUGAAGCUGCAGGUAGAGGUCUCAGGUAGAGGUCUCAGGUGUGAAGCUGCAGGUAGAGGUCUCAGGUGUGAAGCUGCAGGUAGAGGUCUCAGGUGUGAAGCUGCAGGUAGAGGUCUCCGGUGUGAAGCUGCAGGUAGAGGUCUGAGGUGUGAAGCUGCAGGUAGAGGUUUCAGGUGUGAAGCUGCAGGUAGAGGUCUCAGGUGUGAAGCUUCAGGUAGAGGUCUCAGGUGUGAAGCUGCAGGUAGAGGUCUCAGGUAGAGGUCUCAGGUGUGAAGCUGCAGGUAGAGGUCUCAGGUGUGAAGCUGCAGGUAGAGGUCUCAGGUAUGAAGCUGCAGGUAGAGGUCUCAGGUGUGAAGCUGCAGGUAGAGGUCUCAUGUGUGAAGCUGCAGGUAGAGGUCUCAGGUGUGAAGCUGCAGGUAGAGGUUUCAGGUAUGAAGCUGCAGGUAGAGGUGUCAGGUGUGAAGCUGCAGGUAGAGGUCUCAGGUGUGAAGCUGCAGGUAGAGGUCUCAGGUGUGAAGCUGCAGGUAGAGGUCUCAGGUAUGAAGCUGCAGGUAGAGGUGUCAGGUGUGAAGCUGCAGGUAGAGGUGUCAGGUGUGAAGCUGCAGGUAGAGGUGUCAGGUAUGAAGCUGCAGGUAGAGGUGUCAGGUAUGAAGCUGCAGGUAGAGGUGUCAGGUAUGAAGCUGCAGGUAGAGGUCUCAUGUGUGAAGCUGUAGGUAGAGGUGUCAGGUGUGAAGCUGCAGGUAGAGGUGUCAGGUAUGAAGCUGCAGGUAGAGGUCUCCGGUGUGAAGCUGCAGGUAGAGGUCUCAUGUGUGAAGCUGUAGGUAGAGGUGUCAGGUGUGAAGCUGCAGGUAGAGGUGUCAGGUAUGAAGCUGCAGGUAGAGGUCUCAUGUGUGAAGCUGCAGGUAGAGGUGUCAGGUGUGAAGCUGCAGGUAGAGGUGUCAGGUGUGAAGCUGCAGGUAGAGGUCUCAGGUGUGAAGCUGCAGGUAGAGGUGUCAGGUAUGAAGCUGCAGGUAGAGGUCUCAGGUAUGAAGCUGCAGGUAGAGGUCUCAGGUAAACUAUUCUCACUACAUGGUAAACCCUACUGUUCACUGAUUG